rnacentral:snRNA from 1 species
AUCACUUCUUGGCCUUUUGGCUAAGAUCAAGUGUAGUAUCUGUUCUAAUCAGUUAAAAAAGUUUUCACACAAACAGAAACAUCCUUUACUGGUUACCAGUGAUGGGAGGGUAGAUGCCUA